UGAACAAGUCAUUAGAUUGGAUUAAGUUGUAGGAUUUGAAUACAAUUAUUGAAAUUAUUACUAGUAUGCUCAUGCUGAUGAUCAUUUUUUAUGUCAUGAAUAUGUUGUAUACUUAAUCCCAUUUUUUAAUUUCAUUUAACCUGUUUAAUUUUUAUUUAUUUUAUAAUAUUUUCAGUGUUGAAGUAAAUCAUUUAAUCCUUGAUCAAGACAAAAUCAUUAUUCCAAAAUUGUUGAACUUAGA
rnacentral:lncRNA from 1 species